AAUUCUUAACUCAAGCUUCUUGAACAUUAAAUUUUCUUCUCUUUCGUGGGAAUAGGGAUGAAUGGAAUCCACACUUCUUUCCGUAAUCAAUUAGCUCACACAUCAAAAGAAUUUCUGAGUUUCUUUGAAGUAUGCCGAUUUUAAGUAAGGAUGGAAGUUGAGCUACUCUUCUCUUGCCCUGGAGAUGAGUUAACUAUAAAGCUUAGACACCUAUUUUCAAACAUGUUAUGUUACCAACAUGGUUCUGAUGAAAGCACAAUCAUGACACUAUCAACAGGCAACUGACCUUUGGUUUGAUUAUAUAUACAGAACGGUCAUUAUCUAUUUUUUAUUGCUAUAAAAAUGUUGUAUCAUGUAAAAUAUUCUUUAUUCAUGCAGUACAUUACUAUACUUGCACCUUAUAUUUUGAAAGAACAUUUUGAAUCCCCAUUCAUGAAGGGUAGGAUACUUGGUAUGCGUGCUUGUGCAACCUAAACUUCUACCUUCCUCUAUAGUCGAAAACCAACCUAAAACUCUGCACUAAGGCCCUGUUUCAUAUGAGGACUGGUGGGGUGGGACUAAGACUGAGAUUGGCUGGUACCAGCUUUUUAUGUUUGGCACAAGGUAAUGAGAAAUUGAAUCCCAAUCCCAUCUAUGUGGGAUUGCCCAAUACCACCAUCCCACCAGUGUUGGAAAAUUAGUCCUGAGAUUGAAUAUUUUCAGACCAAAGCCCUCUACCCCAUCUGCUUUCCUCGUGUUGCCAUCGCUUGCUGGAGGAUCAGCCCCCCUGGCUCCCAAACAUCUGCUCUCCCUUCCAUUUCCUUGCUCAUCGUCGGCGUCCUUGGAAGAUCAGAUUUGGUGAGCUACUCAUCAUCGGCAUUCCUAGAACUUUAGAUUUGGUGAGCUAGACAGCAAGCCCUCUCCCUCCUUGGCCCGGUUCUGGCGAGCUUGACACCACUGGAGGUGGUGGCUAAGGAGGAUGAAUGUGGUUCAAGUUUGGAAGCUAGAUUUGGUUAUGCAAGUUCAAUAGUAAUUGAAUAUAGUUAUGCAAGCUCAUUAAAACUCAAGUUCAAGUCAUUAUUGUUUUAGUUGGAUUGAAUGGUGUUGACGGUGGGGUGCACAUAGCGGCAGGAAAGAGGAGAAGGAUGAUGAUGAUGAUGAGGGAAAUGUUGUCUUUUAGCUACUUUUUUUUUGGGGGGGUUAAAUUUGAGUUUUUUUUUUUUUAAAUCUUAUGGCAUACCAAACUGCAUUUUAAAACUUAUU